rfam:Ictidomys tridecemlineatus contig020576, whole genome shotgun sequence.
GGGGCUAUAGCUCGGUUGGUAGAGUGCUUGCUUCGCAUGCAUAAGGCCCUGGGUUCAAUUCCCAGCACCA